GUUCCCCCUCUCUUCCCAGAUCUCCUCUUCCCCCUCCUCACCCGACGCGCCCGUUUCCGUCGCCGCACCACCACCGCGACCACCGCCAUCCGCGGGCGCCCCCGACGUGUCUCGCCGCAUCGCCAUGCCCAGGAGGAGCACGUCGUCAUCCUCUUCACACACGUAGAGCGCCAUCACCUAGGACGCCAUGGAGCCAUCACGUCGUUCUUCUUCCCCAUCGGCCGUCACACACCUCGCUAUCGAUUCACCUUGCUCCGGCCCGUCCCCGGCUUCCCCGACGCACCCACGAGCUCUGUGAUGUUGGAGUCUAGGAGCCAGACGCCACUGUCAAUGACGACUGCUACUACUCGGGAGGUGCCUACUACUACGUGCAGGCCGCUGACGACGACUAGGAGUAGUUUAGGAGGAUCCCAGGCAGGAGGCCUGCGCCUCUUUCAACCUGUAUCCCAGUUUGUGCUAGCCUUGUGAAGGAAAACUUGUUUACCUAUGUCUGUACUCAGAUAUUGUUGCUUCCGCUGACUCGUUUAUGAUCGAUCCCUUGUAUUCGAGCCGUCGAGGCCCCUGGCUUGUAAUAUGAUGCUUGUAUGACUUAUUUUAUUUGUA